CGGACGGGUGAGUAACGCGUGGGUAACCUGCCUCACACAGGGGGAUAACAGUUGGAAACGGCUGCUAAUACCGCAUAAGCGCACGGUACCGCAUGGUACAGUGUGAAAAACUCCGGUGGUGUGAGAUGGACCCGCGUCUGAUUAGCUAGUUGGCAGGGCAACGGCCUACCAAGGCGACGAUCAGUAGCCGACCUGAGAGGGUGACCGGCCACAUUGGGACUGAGAUACGGCCCAA
rnacentral:rRNA from 1 species